AGAGUUUGAUCAUGGCUCAGAAUCAACGCUGGCGGCGCGCCUAACACAUGCAAGUCGAACGAGAAAGUGGAGCAAUCCAUGAGUACAGUGGCGUACGGGUGAGUAACACGUGGGUAAUCUACCUCUUAGUGUGGAAUAACCCUGGGAAACCGGGGCUAAUACCGCAUAAGCUCGAGAGAGGAAAGCAGCAAUGCGCUGAGAGAGGAGCCCGCGGCCGAUUAGCUUGUUGGCAGGGUAAAAGCCUACCAAGGCAAAGAUCGGUAGCCGGCCUGAGAGGGCACACGGCCACACUGGCACUGAAACACGGGCCAGACUCCUACGGGAGGCAGCAGUGGGGAAUCUUGCACAAUGGGGGCAACCCUGAUGCAGCGACGCCGCGUGAGCGAUGAAGCCCUUCGGGGUGUAAAGCUCUUUCGGCAGGGAAGAUUAUGACGGUACCUGCAGAAGCAGCUGCGGCUAACUACGUGCCAGCAGCCGCGGUAAUACGUAGGCAGCAAGCGUUGUUCGGAGUUACUGGGCGUAAAGGGUGUGUAGGCGGUUCUCUAAGUUUGGUGUGAAAUCUCCCGGCUCAACUGGGAGGGUGCGCCGAAUACUGAAGGACUAGAGUACGGGAGAGGAGAGUGGAAUUCCUGGUGUAGCGGUGAAAUGCGUAGAUAUCAGGAGGAACACCGGUGGUGUAGACGGCUCUCUGGACCGUAACUGACGCUGAGACACGAAAGCGUGGGUAGCAAACAGGAUUAGAUACCCUAGUAGUCC
rnacentral:rRNA from 1 species